UUGAGAUUGCAGAAUCCCACACUGGUUUGUGUUGGAAGAGACCUUCAAGCUCCUCCAGUUCCAACCCCUGCCACGGGCAGGGACACCUUCCACUGGAGCAGGUUGCUCCAAGCCCCUGUGUCCAACCUGGCCUUGAACACUGCCAGGGAUGGGGCAGCCACAGCUUCUCUGGGCACCCUGUGCCAGCACCUCAGCACCCUCACACGGAAGAGCUUCUGCCUAAGAGCUCAUCUCAGACUCCCCUGUUCUGGCAGGUUAAAGCCAUUCCCCUUGUCCCGUCCCUACAAGCCCUUGUCCAAAGUCCCUCUCCAGGUUUCUCACAGCCCCUUUAGGCACUGGAGCUGCUCUAAGGUCUUCCCUUAAGAAGCCUUCUCUUCUCCAGGCUGAACAUAUGGACCAACUUGCAGCAAAAAGCACUUCUCCCACGCAGCCAUGCUCGCUGUGUGUGUGCCUGUCUCUGGCUCCAUGGCUUUGUCACAUGUGUGUGCACAUUCUUCUCUGCAUAUGGCAGCUCCGGUGCUGGGACCAGGCUCCUUCCUGUGCAAAUCCUCCUCACCACUUAUUUACAUGGAAGGUGGCGCCUUGCUGUACAUUAACAUUGAAAACCAAACAGCCGGCCCAUCAGGAGCAUCGCUCUGAGGGAUGGCAACACAUUGCAAACAUCAAGAGGAAGGGAUGGAGAGAAAUCCUGCUUCAGCAGAAAGACCAUGACAAAAGUUAUGCUGCAAGCCCUGAUCUAAGCUGUAAAAGACCAUGGAUGGAAGAGGGCUGAAGUCUGACCAUCUGCAGAAGGUAGUGACCUGUGCCUGAAUCUCUACACUGACUGUGGAGCAGACCAGGACAGUCGAUGAAAACAACAAUUAAACCUGCCUGGGAUUUGCAAUUCCUGUAGCUGGGAGAGGAAUGACUCAUGCCAGCUGAUGCUCGGGUGUCUUCCUCCAGACACCACGAUCGGUGGCCUGUGGAUGGAGCAGGGCUGGGCUGCUUCUCACCCCUUGAGAGGUAUCUGCAUCUCAGGAUCUGACCCAAAGAAGAACAUGAAGGAUGCCCUGGAGAUCCUGCUAGAGACUGAAAAAUGGGAGCACCUUCCAAGAGCGCUUUGUGUCUUAGAGGGAGAGAAUCAACUUCCAACAGGAAAGGAAACCUCAGGCCAGCCUGAAACAGGAACCAUGUGCAAGUUUGUGGCGCCUUUAAAUAGAACCCUUCAUCUGUCUUCCAAAGAAAAAAGAUGUUUGCAGUCACACAGGUCUGUGUGUUCAUCUGGCACCUGUCUCUUCAUUGUGGGGACAUUUGAACUCAUUGGCCAGCUUUAA
rnacentral:lncRNA from 14 species